GUGAACGCUGGCGGUAGGCCUUACACCUGCAAGUCGAACGGCAGCACAGUAAGAGCUCGCUCUUACGGGUGGCGAGUGGCGGACGGGUGAGGAAUACAUCGGAAUCUACUUUUUCGUGGGGGAUAACGUAGGGAAACUUACGCUAAUACCGCAUACGACCUACGGGUGAAAGCAGGGGAUCUUCGGACCUUGCGCGAUUGAAUGAGCCGAUGUCGGAUUAGCUAGUUGGCGGGGUAAAGGCCCACCAAGGCGACGAUCCGUAGCUGGUCUGAGAGGAUGAUCAGCCACACUGGAACUGAGACACGGUCCAGACUCCUACGGGAGGCAGCAGUGGGGAAUAUUGGACAAUGGGCGCAAGCCUGAUCCAGCCAUACCGCGUGGGUGAAGAAGGCCUUCGGGUUGUAAAGCCCUUUUGUUGGGAAAGAAAAGCAGCAGGUUAAUACCCCGCUGUUCUGACGGUACCCAAAGAAUAAGCACCGGCUAACUUCGUG
rnacentral:rRNA from 1 species